AAAGGAUGCCUUUAUACCGUUCGUUGUUCGUUGCGUUUCCAAUUAAACCACGUUCAAAGUUAUUUAUUGUGCAAUAACCUCCACCUUAUUUGAGCAUUGUUGAGACUUAUUGUGAAGUUAUUGUUUCAAAUUUGCCAUUAUGAGACCCAAAGGAACGACAACUAUCACAUGUGAAGACAGUGGCGCAUUAAAUUCCACGCAUAUUCUAAACUACACAAGGUGUGUUCUUCCCGAGGGCUCAUUUUCGUCUCGUUCUGCGCAUCUCUUUGGGAGCGAAUUCUCAUUGGCUGCUUCCCAGCUGGUGCGCAAUAGCACACCUUGUAGUCUUGUAUUCAAUUCAAAUUUUUCAAAUUGGCGCGUCGUUUUGGGAGCGAAUUCUCAUUGGCUGCCUCCCAGCUGGUGCGUUACAGUCUUUACGUCAUGAAAUCGUCCAUUUUUAAAAUGGAGUUAAAAUGUAUAUUUUCACUUGUUGCUCGUAUUUGAUCAGCAUAUUAUUUUAUUGAAUUAAAUUUUUAAAUUCUA